rnacentral:rRNA from 1 species
GAUGAACGCUGGCGGCGUGCCUAAUACAUGCAAGUCGAGCGAACGGACGAGAAGCUUGCUUCUCUGAUGUUAGCGGCGGACGGGUGAGUAACACGUGGAUAACCUACCUAUAAGACUGGGAUAACUUCGGGAAACCGGAGCUAAUACCGGAUAAUAUUUUGAACCGCAUGAUUCAAAAGUGAAAGACGGUCUUGCUGUCACUUAUAGAUGGAUCCGCGCUGCAUUAGCUAGUUGGUAAGGUAACGGCUUACCAAGGCAACGAUGCAUAGCCGACCUGAGAGGGUGAUCGGCCACACUGGAACUGAGACACGGUCCAGACUCCUACGGGAGGCAGCAGUAGGGAAUCUUCCGCAAUGGGCGAAAGCCUGACGGAGCAACGCCGCGUGAGUGAUGAAGGUCUUCGGAUCGUAAAACUCUGUUAUUAGGGAAGAACAUAUGUGUAAGUAACUUUGCACAUCUUGACGGUACCUAAUCAGAAAGCCACGGCUAACUACGUG